CGAAGAACCUNACAUGGGCUNGAAAUGNANAGGACAACGGUAGANAUAUCGUCUCCCAGCAAUGGGUCUGUAUAUAGNUGCUGNAUGGCUGUUGUCAGCUCGUGUCGUGAGAUGUUGGNUUAAGUCCCGCAACGAGCGCAACCCUUAUCUCCANUUGCUACCAUUUAGUUGAGCACUCUGGCGAAACCGCCUCGGAUACCCGGGGAGGAAGGUGGGGAUGACGUCAAGUCCUCAUGGCCUUUAUGUCCAGGGCUACACACGUGCUACAAUGGCCGGUACAAACUCGUCUGCAACCCCGCGAGGGUGAGCUAAUCGGAAAAAGCCGGCCUCAGUUCGGAUUGGAGUCUGCAACUCUGACUCCAUGAAGCUGGAAUCGCUAGUAAUCGUGGAUCAGCAUG
rnacentral:rRNA from 1 species